rnacentral:lncRNA from 1 species
AGGAAGUAUCCUAACCGAUAAACAAGAAUGAUUGAGUAAGUACAUAUAUAUAUAAUAUAUUAUAAUAUAAUAUGUAUCUAUUUAUAUGUAUAAAUAUAGUUUAGUCAAAACCUGAGAGGGUCUGCCUGUUGCGUAUGCUAAGUCGGAAUACCUAUUUCAGAAUACGAGGACUAGAUUAAAAUAAAGCGCUUCGAAGAGAACUUUAAAAUAAAUUCCUAAUUUCCCGGGCUUCAAAGUAUAUGUACGACGAACAAGACGUUCCUAAGGUCCAACUACGUGUUUCGAGAGGUGAAAUGACCUCGGAAGACGCUCGAUCAACCGAGUGGUCAAACUUUCCAAAUUUGGUCAACCGGGCCCACGACCUCCGAUUUCCAAUCUGAAAGUUCCUAUGGGUUCAACAAGGUUUUUUAUACAUGUCCUGCAAGUUUGGUCCGAAUGGAAUGGUCGGAUUGCUUGCGAUCACACGAUCGGAUGAUUAC